rnacentral:rRNA from 1 species
GAUGAACGCUGGCGGCGUGCCUAAUACAUGCAAGUCGAGCGAACGGGCGAGACGCUUGCUUCUCUGAUGUUAGCGGCGGACGGGUGAGUCACACGUGGAUAACCUACCUAUAAUACUGGGAUCACUUCGGGAAACCGGCGCUAAUACCGUAUGAUAUUUUGCACCGCAUGGUUCAAUAGUGAAAGACGGUCUUUCUGUCACUUGUCGAUGGAUCCGCGCUGCAUUAGCUAGUUGGUAAGGUAACGGCUUACCAAGGCAACGAUGCGUAGCCGGCCUGAGAGGGUGACCGGCAACAUGGGGAAGGAGAGAAGGCCAAGACUGCUACGGGAGGAAGCAGGGGGGAAUAUUGCAGAAUGGGCGGAAGCAUGAUGCAGCAACGCCGCGUGCGGGAUGACGGCCGUCGGGUUGUAAACCGAGUGCGACUGUGACGAAGCGGGAGUGACGGUAAGGGGUAAAGAAGAACCGGCUAACUAAGUG